ensembl:lncRNA
GAAAGCUCCAUGUUUGUGUGAGCUCACUGGAGGAGGGCACAUUUUUAAACAGGGAAUCUGCUGAAACAGGACAAUUCCUGAUUUUUGACGAUCUGAGGGUCUUGGUGGAGAUUUCAGCUGACACCUUGGAAAGGGAUUCCAGUUGACUACUCUCCGACGCGCCUCCAAACAUUGGCCUCUGUGCCAAAUCGAUUGUUCUUUUCUUUCUUUUUUUAAAAGACCCCAGACAUAUCCUUUUCAGCAGCUCUGUGAAACCGCUCACAUCUUUUGCUAACCUCCCUGCCAGCGCACGUCCUUUGCCUUCUUGGGGUACUUGCUUCCACUCUUCCACUCUCUGAGGAAUGGAACACAGAUACCGUUUUUACUCUGAGGCACUUGUUGCUUUAAUCUUCAGGGAAAAAAGGAACCACUAUGGAUGAACUGUGUUUAUCAGGGUGGCUGUGCUUUUGUGUACUUUACUGUUCAGUGCUGUAUAGAGCACAGUACUGCAGCAUCUUUAUGUCAAGCCCAGGAUGUCCAGCAGCACGUGCAAAAGCAGACAGAGGUGAUGGAGCUGUUGCCACGGUGCUUUUCAAGGUACUGUACUGUAAUAUUAAAAAUGUUUUCUCUAUUUUCUAUUUCUUUUUAUAUAUUGUUCGUGUGAAAAGUAUUAUAAACACAUUACUGUACGGUAUUAUAUAGCCGAUUUUGUUAGUUGGGUAUCUAGGCUGACUUUGUAGGACUUAACGAACAAGUCGGACUUACGAACGUGCUCUCGGAAUGGAACUCGUUCGUAUGUAGGGGACUGUAUGUGUUUCUGCCUUUCUAUUAUCGCUCUCAUUCACAUGCUUCUGUCAUCUGUUAUAAUCACCAUCGUAACAUUCCCAAGGAUCUCUCAGUUUGUACUGCCCUCCCCUUCCUUUAAACCAUCUCUACAUCACCACCAGAACUAUCUUUCCAGAGUACAAAUCUAUUACUGGUCACGUGGCUCUGACUGAGACUCUAGUGACUCCGUUGUCUUCCAGAGGACAUUUUAGCCCUAUUCCGUGAGAAGCUCUUCAUAACUUAAUCCCUUCUUGACAUCCAAGAGCUAUUCCCACUGCACUCCUGAAUCUCGGUUAAGAUUCUUAAACCCCUAAGCCUUUUGAUACGAUGGCCAGCCCUUUCUCCUUCACUUGGCCGACUCCCCCUUGACACAGAGGCUGCAAUAUUUGAGAGGCCUCCUUAUUCCAACUACAGCAUUAGGGUCUCUCUUUUGGAGGCUUUUGAGUUUCUGAGCUUCCUUACAUUCAAACAUAAUGUGACUGUGUAGUAAUUCUUGGUUUCCUUGCUCCUCUCCUUUACUUUAUUGUGGGAUUCUCAAAGACAGCCACUCAGAGCACCUAUCUCUAUAAACCCAGGACUGUUCACCAUGUCUGACUCAUAAUGGCUGAUCAAAAAUAAUUUAAAAUGGAAUCAAACGGAGUAGCCCUUGUCCCUCAAGGGUCUCCUCCAAAGGACACUGAGCUUUCUUGAGUGAAGUUUACUCCCCAUUGUACUCCACCCUCAAACCUCUAUUUUAGAAUAAAGACUGUAAUAUGACUUCUUCUCUCCUGCCU